GUCCUUGUAGCUUAUACUAAAGCAUAGCACUGAAGAUGCUAAGAUGGUUACCUAUAUUCCCAAGGACA
rnacentral:tRNA from 1 species